rnacentral:lncRNA from 1 species
GAGAAGCUGAAGAUCCAAAUAGUACAAAGAUCCAAAUAUGUUUUAUGUAGCAUUCUUGGGAAUUUCUCUUUAGAAAGUUUUGGUGGGGUGGAGGGGGAAAAAAUGACACAAAUAUAAAUGGACUCGUCAAAUUUAUCAAAUUAUCAAAUUUGUUUAUCAAAUUAUUUUUAUAUUUUAUACUAUUAAUAUGCUUAUUAACAUGUUUGUACCUUCAUGUGUUAAUAAAUUUGCUCUUAUUUUGAGCCUAUUAACCAUUUUAAGCCUUUCACGUUGUCAUGUAAACCUUUACCUAAACUAGAAUCAUAAAAUUUUAGAUUUAGAAAUG